ACCGACCUAGAAUUGCUUGCAGUAAAGCAAAACUGCAGUCUCCUCUAUAAAAGUGAAGUGAGGAGCGGCGGGGCUACAUCACACAAUUGUACUUUUAGUUAGAAGAAACGAAUCCGACAUGUCUGAGUAUUUGCCACAAGAAUUGGUGAUUGAAAUCUUGCUAAGACUGCCUAUCGGUUCCAUCCUUGGAUGCACAUGUGUAUGUAAGUCAUGGUACUCUCUUAUUAAUAGCCCUGGUUUUAUCUCCACACAUCUCAACCGAAACCAAGAUGAUCACAUCUUAGUACGACAUUGCUUUGGAAACCCCAACAAAGAAGUAUAUGGUUUAUUCUUUGACAAUGAAAAUUUUGAUCAGCAUAGCCAAUUUGAUGUGCCAUUCGAAUGCCAUAACGAUCACUUUAAUGUUGAGGGUAGUUGUAAUGGGCUUUUGUGUCUUUCCGGUGACCUUUUCUAUCUUUGGAACCCCUCCAUCAGGAAAUCGCUAGAGCUCCCUGAACCAAUAUUUAUUUUUCAGGCAUAUGGUCCCUUUGAGCGUACCGACAUAUUGGGUGACUUUUAUCAUACAUUGGGGUUUGGAUUCGAUUCUGUUACUAAUGACUACAAGGUGGUAAGAAUAGUGCACACUCCUUUUGUAAGAACACUGCACACUCCUUUUGUGUCACCUAAUGUUGAGCUUUAUAAGCUAAGCACUGGUGCUUGGCAAGAUGUUACCCCCGUUGCCCCAUUUUAUGAAUUCUUUCCCUGGAUACCAGGGGUCUAUGUUAAUGGGGCUUGCCAUUGGAUUGCCUCUAAACAGAAACCAGGAGAAUUCCAAACUGCAAGAGACAAUAAUAGGAUUGUUCUCUUUGAUAUGCAUGUCGAGACCUUUCGGGAGAUGGUGUUACCCUCUAGUUUAGUUCACAAAGUUCGGUACUACGGUUAUGAGAUUGUCCUUUUUGCGUCAGAGGGUUCACUUUGUUUGGCAGAUAGGUUGUUUGGUGAUGACAGAACAAGAAUUGAUAUUUGGAACAUGAAAAGGUAUGGUGAUCCAGGAUCAUGGGUGAAACAGUUCAGCAUCCAUCGGAAAAUUACAUGUAGCGCUGGUGAUGGUGAUAUUUUUUCAAUGCUUCAUGAUGAGUUUUUCCCACAUGAGCCUUACAUUGCUAGUUGUUUGAUGAAGCCAAUGGCUGUAAGGAAAAAUGGUGAAAUUUUGUUUAACGCGAAUGGCCACAUCUUGGUUUCAUAUGAUCCUGCAACUAAAAAUACCAAGUAUCUUGGCAUUUGUAGCACUCCCUAUGAACCAUUUGGCAAUGCACUUUAUGUCCAUACUUGCAAAGUGAGUCUUAUUUUACUUGAUAAACGAGCAAAUUACUGUGCUGGAGGUCCUUGUGAAGAGUCAUCCAAUUUACGCACGAGGCAGCCUAAAGAGUUCAUAAAGGCAAAAUGCAAAAGAAGAUUGCUUGUAGGAUUGAUGGACAAAUCAAAAAUGAAAGCAAAGAGGCUGCACAUGAUAAAAUGGAAGGGUGGCUGGAGAAAGAAGUUCAUAAAGGCAAAAUGCAAAAGAAGAUUGCUUGUAGGAUUGAUGGACAAGUCAAAAAUGAAAGCAAAGAGGCUACACAUGAUAAAACGGAAGAACACUCAGGUUUCAGGCUGACAUUAUGAUGGAAUACGAGGUGGCCAUCAUGAAAGCAGAGCAGGCAAGAUGGUUGGAUCAGAUGAGAAUUUCCCAGGUGUGAUGAGGCCUUCAAAUCUUCAAGGGGGAUUAAGGCCUGGUGUUGGAGGAAAAUUGGGGCAAAAUAGGAGAGCACUAAGUACAGUCAAUAGGAAUGUAAUUGGAGCUCCACCAUUAGUACCAUGUGCUGUCAACAAGAGAAAUGUCAUUACUGAUAACAAAGCUAAUGCUGUUAACAAGAUCCCUCCUGUUCCGAUUCAUCGUCCAAUCACAAGGAAGUUAGCUGCACAAAUCGCAAGCAAACAGCAACAACCAGCAGUCGAGGUAAUAAAGCCACCACCAGUCCCAGUGGCAC